GAUGAAGAACGUAGCGAAAUGCGAUAAGUAGUGUGAAUUGCAGAAUUCAGUGAAUCAUCGAAUCUUUGAACGCACAUUGCGCCCCAUGGUAUUCCGUGGGGCAUGCCUGUUCGAGCGUCAUUUACUCCCUCAAGCUCCGCUUGGUGUUGGGCGUCUGUCCCGCUUCGCGCGCGGACUCGCCCCAAAGGUAUUGGCAGCGGUCGUGCCAGCUUCUCGCGCAGCACAUUGCGCUUCUCGAGGCACCGGUGGGCCCGCGUCCAUCAAGCUCACCCCCCCAGUUUGACCUCGGAUCAGGUAGGGAUACCCGCUGAACUUAAGCAUAUCAAUAAGCGGAGGA
rnacentral:misc_RNA from 1 species